UAGGGAAGCUACACCCUGGGGGUCUAGGAA
rnacentral:piRNA from 1 species